rnacentral:rRNA from 1 species
UACCAGCAACCCGAGUGGUCGGGACGUUUAUUGGGCCUAAAGCAUCCGUAGCCGGUUCUACAAGUCUUCCGUUAAAUCCAACUGCUUAACAGGUGGGCUGCGGAAGAUACUAUAGAGCUAGGAGGCGGGAGAGGCAAGCGGUACUCGAUGGGUAGGGGUAAAAUCCGUUGAUCCAUUGAAGACCACCAGUGGCGAAGGCGGCUUGCCAGAACGCGCUCGACGGUGAGGGAUGAAAGCUGGGGGAGCAAACCGG